AAAAAAAAAGAAAAAGCCCUUUCUGAUGGCAGUGCACAGGAUGAGACCAGCUAUUUCUUGGAUGCAGAGGACUAACACCAAAAUGAGCACUCUGUGCAUGCCAGAGUCCUCAUGUCAGGGGCCAUUUACAUCACUCAUUCAUGACCCACACAUACCAUUGACUCCCUCAUUGUCUCAGAGAGUCACCAGGCUGGUGGAUGCUACCACAGGAGGCUGCGUGGGAGACACUUCACACGGUCUUCUGCUUAUUCUCCUUCAGCAGUGUUCAGACUCCAGUGGGGACCAGCAGCACAGGACACAGGUGACACAGGAGGUUUAUCUUAAAGGAGUUUGUAGGAUUAAAAACUACUUUUAUUUUUUUGUGGACCUGGGAUGGAACCUGAGGUUUUGUGCGUACUAAUGCUAAUCCAGGGCUCUGCGGUUGAACCAGUCCCUAUAGAAUUUUUGCAAGUAAAUUUAAGCACUCAAAAUCUUCAUUUUGAAGGUGUUAGAACCUUAUCAACUCUGGCAUUUAUUAUCUAUCAGACUCACACAUAUCUGUGUACUCAGUCUGGUGGUGUGUUCUGUACAACAGGAAGACGGGAUACCGUUGCCGCCCUUACUGUUUAGUAUGGGGGCAGUCAUUUUAAUAGCACACAUGGUAGGAAUUUUGAUGGAGAGGGACAAAGAGGAUGGUGGAGGGACUCCUAAGAGGUGUCAAAGGUAAAAAAUUUAGUUUUUAUAUUCAUAAAAAAAAGGAAGUGAAUCUUGACAGAUGGUUGGGAGGCAUCUAGAAUCUGAGAGAGAGAGAGAGAGAGAGAGAGAGAGAGAGAGAGAGAGAGAGAGAGAAUAGGACCCAGAGGAGUAAGAGUACAGGUAGGUUGUAAAACUGGAUGGUUUUGUAUGGCUGGGAAGGCCGCACUUUGCACUGGAAUUUUCAUUUAAGGACCCAUGGACUUUUGAGAGAAGCAUUAGCCAUCCAUGGAUGGCAUCUCCAUUCAGUUUCCUGAUCUCUCUCACCCUCUCUCAGAUUAUAUCGUUUUUAACAAACUUAUAGAAUAGUAGGUUUCCAUAUGACUUUUUCAUGUAUCCUUAGUUCUGCUUAUACCUCCCUUCUCCCCUUCCCUAUUCUACCACCCGCUCCCUGCUUAAGCCUCCCCGCUCCCAGUGUUCUCCCCUUCAUUCUCAUGUCCCACAUGGUCUACUCCCUCUCUCCCUUAAAGGCCUCCAGCCCCUCUCCCCUGUCAGUGGACCUUUCCUGUCUUUUCAGCUGGUACCAGCACUCAAUGUUCCAACUAAAAGUCUUAAGCACUGAGGGCCAAGUGUGGUCCCCUUUCAGGAAGUCCAGAGGAUGUACGACUGUGGAGGCGGCAGGUGGAGGUGAUAGAGAUGCCAAAGCAGAGCUUCUUCGGUAGUCAAGUGGCAGGCGGGAGACCCAGAAGCAACUUCCGCACAGGAGGGCAGAUGAGUGGUCCAGAGUGGUCCAGACAGGCGUGAGAGCUUUUCUUCCUCCAGGAAGCGCAUCCCCGUCUCAUUUCCAAUUCCAGAAUGCCUGCCCAGUCGGUUCUCUUCUCACCAUUUCUACUGCCCGGACCUCAGUGCUGCCUUGGACUGCGGCAGAGUUGACCUAGAUGCCCCCGUUCUGGUUGCUCUCUCUCUCUCUCUGGCCUGCUCCUUUCCCCUCUCCUUGUGUGUGUUGUCCGAGUCUGACCCUGUCAGCUGGAUAACGAUGGCCAGGCUACUUAGCCUCUCUAGGCUUUGGUUUGUUCACGGGGAUCUUGUGGGUUCUGUGAGACAAUGUGUGAGAACCUCUUGCUUCAUGCGUGGCUCCAGCAGGCCAUGAAUUGCCAUUGUUUCUCCCUUGAUCAGAGCAGGAGCGGUGGACCGGUGGUUGUGAUCAUCCUCUCAUGGGGAGACUGGAUGGGUUUCCCUGGGUCAGGAGCUGUAUGGAUCACAGUGGAUGUGUGUUCCUACCUGCAGGUUCCCUAUGUCCUGUAAGCUUGCCACAUUCAUGUCUUUAAAAAUGCCUCCGUGGGCUGCCAUAGUAGAAGGAGAAAUCACUUGUACGUGUAUGUUGUCCAAAUGGUAUUUUUAAAGAUUUAUUUUUGUGUGUU